rnacentral:rRNA from 1 species
UACGAAGGGGGCUAGCGUUGUUCGGAAUUACUGGGCGUAAAGCGCACGUAGGCGGGUAUUUAAGUCAGGGGUGAAAUCCCAGAGCUCAACUCUGGAACUGCCUUUGAUACUGGGUACCUAGAGUAUGGAAGAGGUGAGUGGAAUUCCGAGUGUAGAGGUGAAAUUCGUAGAUAUUCGGAGGAACACCAGUGGCGAAGGCGGCUCACUGGUCCAUUACUGACGCUGAGGUGCGAAAGCGUGGGGAGCAAACAGGG